GGUAGCAUGGCCGAGCGGUCUAAGGCGCUGGUUUAAGGCAACAGUCAUUUCGAUUGCGUGGGAAUCCGAAUCCCACUGCUGCCA
rnacentral:tRNA from 1 species